rnacentral:miRNA from 1 species
UUAGGUUGGUGCAAAAGUAAUUGCAGUUUUUCCGUUACUUUUAAUGGCAAAAACUGCAAUUACUUUUGCACCAACCUAAUA